rnacentral:lncRNA from 1 species
UGGCAAAAUUUUUCUUAUAUUUUAUGCCGCGGAUAAUACACUGAAAGGCACCCGAAGAGACGAUCUAUUCAACUAUGUGAAUUCAAGCCUCAUAAACAGUGCGUUUGGUUAUAACCUUCCGAAACCCGAAUGGCUUUUCGCAUAUUGCGAUGAUGAAUGCGCGGUUCUGAAAGUUUUGUCCAAGGACCCUGUUGAAACUGAUUCUGCGAAAUGUGAGCUGUGGGUGAGCAUGAAAAUCGGCGAGAAGCCGCACAUUCACAAGUGGAACGAAGAUCAUCCAUGUGUAAGGUACUUUUCUACGGCUUGCUAUACACAAUAUCCAACCGAAGUCUACGAUCCCGUUUUGUGUGGAGAAUAA